GAUGAACGCUGGCGGCAUGCCUAAUACAUGCAAGUCGAACGAGAGGAAGGAAAGCUUGCUUUUCUGAAUCUAGUGGCGAAUGGGUGAGUAACACGUAGGUAACCUGCCCAUGUGCCCGGGAUAACUUCUGGAAACGGAUGCUAAAACCGGAUAGGUAGCAGACAAGCAUUUGACUGCUAUUAAAGUGGCUAAGGCCAUGAACAUGGAUGGACCUGCGGUGCAUUAGCUAGUUGGUGAGGUAACGGCCCACCAAGGCGACGAUGCAUAGCCGGCCUGAGAGGGCGGACGGCCACAUUGGGAAUGAGACACGGCCCAAACUCCUACGGGAGGCAGCAGUAGGGAAUUUUCGUCAAUGGGGGGAACCCUGAACGAGCAAUGCCGCGUGAGUGAGGAAGGUCUUCGGAUCGUAAAGCUCUGUUGUAAGAGAAAAACGACAUUCAUAGGGAAUGAUGAGUGAGUGAUGGUAUCUUACCAGAAAGUCACGGCUAACUACGUGCCAGCCGCCGCGGUAAGAC
rnacentral:rRNA from 1 species